rnacentral:rRNA from 1 species
UACGGGGGGGGCAAGCGUUGUUCGGAAUUACUGGGCGUAAAGGGCUCGUAGGCGGCCAACUAAGUCAGACGUGAAAUCCCUCGGCUUAACCGGGGAACUGCGUCUGAUACUGGAUGGCUUGAGUUUGGGAGAGGGAUGCGGAAUUCCAGGUGUAGCGGUGAAAUGCGUAGAUAUCUGGAGGAACACCGGUGGCGAAGGCGGCAUCCUGGACCAACACUGACGCUGAGGAGCGAAAGCAUGAGGAGCGAACAGG